rnacentral:rRNA from 1 species
UGAGUAACACGUAUCCAACCUGCCGUCUACUCUUGGACAGCCUUCUGAAAGGAAGAUUAAUACAAGAUGGCAUCAUGAGUUCACAUGUUCACAUGAUUAAAGGUAUUCCGGUAGACGAUGGGGAUGCGUUCCAUUAGAUAGUAGGCGGGGUAACGGCCCACCAAGACUACGAUGGAUAGGGGUCCUGAGAGGAAGGUCCCCCACAUUGGAACUGAGACACGGUCCAA